AGCGGCGGAUGGGUGAGUAACACGUGGGGAACCUGCCCCUAAGUCUGGGAUACCAUUUGGAAACAGGUGCUAAUACCGGAUAAUAAAGCAGAUCGCAUGAUCAGCUUUUGAAAGGCGGCGUAAGCUGUCGCUAAGGGAUGGCCCCGCGGUGCAUUAGCUAGUUGGUAAGGUAACGGCUUACCAAGGCGACGAUGCAUAGCCGAGUUGAGAGACUGAUCGGCCACAUUGGGACUGAGACACGGCCCAAACUCCUACGGGAGGCAGCAGUAGGGAAUCUUCCACAAUGGACGCAAGUCUGAUGGAGCAACGCCGCGUGAGUGAAGAAGGUUUUCGGAUCGUAGAGCUCUGUUGUUGGUGAAGAAGGAUAGAGGUAGUAACUGGCCUUUAUUUGACGGUAAUCAACCAGAAAGUCACGGCUAACUACGUGCCAGCAGCCGCGGUAAUACGUAGGUGGCAAGCGUUGUCCGGAUUUAUUGGGCGUAAAGCGAGCGCAGGCGGAAAAAUAAGUCUAAUGUGAAAGCCCUCGGCUUAACCGAGGAACUGCAUCGGAAACUGUUUUUCUUGAGUGCAGAAGAGGAGAGUGGAACUCCAUGUGUAGCGGUGGAAUGCGUAGAUAUAUGGAAGAACACCAGUGGCGAAGGCGGCUCUCUGGUCUGCAACUGACGCUGAGGCUCGAAAGCAUGGGUAGCGAACAGGAUUAGAUACCCUGGUAGUCCAUGCCGUAAACGAUGAGUGCUAAGUGU
rnacentral:rRNA from 1 species